GGGGGUGUAGCUCAGUGGUUAGAGCAGAGGACUCAUAAUCCUUUGGUCGUUGGUUCAAGUCCAACCACCCCCACCA
rnacentral:tRNA from 1 species